rnacentral:rRNA from 1 species
AACGAACGCUGGCGGCAGGCCUAACACAUGCAAGUCGAACGCUCCGCAAGGGGGAGUGGCGCACGGGUGAGUAACACGUGGGAACCUACCUUCUGGUACGGAACAACCAAGGGAAACUUUGGCUAAGACCGUAUACGACCUCCGGGUGAAAGAUUGAUCGCCGGAAGAGGGGCCCGCGUCCGAUUAGGGUAGUUGGUGAGGUAACGGCUCACCAAGCCUUCGAUCGGUAGCUGGUCUGAGAGGAUGACCAGCCACACUGGGACUGAGACACGGCCCAGACUCCUACGGGAGGCAGCAGUGGGGAAUAUUGGACAAUGGGCGCAAGCCUGAUCCAGCC